GACGAACGCUGGCGGCGUGCCUAAUACAUGCAAGUCGAGCGAAUGACGAGAAGCUUGCUUCUCUGAUUUAGCGGCGGACGGGUGAGUAACACGUGGGCAACCUGCCCUGUAGACUGGGAUAACUUCGGGAGACCGGAGCUAAUACCGGAUAAUCCAUUUCACCUCAUGGUGAAAUGUUAAAAGGCGCUUAGGCGUCACUACAGGAUGGGCCCGCGGUGCAUUAGCUAGUUGGUGGGGUAACGGCCUACCAAGGCAACGAUGCAUAGCCGACCUGAGAGGGUGAUCGGCCACAUUGGGACUGAGACACGGCCCAAACUCCUACGGGAGUCAGCAGUAGGGAAUCUUCCACAAUGGACGAAAGUCUGAUGGAGCAACGCCGCGUGAGUGAUGAAGGUUUUCGGAUCGUAAAACUCUGUUGUAAGGGAAGAACAAGUACGUUAGGAAAUGAACGUACCUUGACGGUACCUUAUUAGAAAGCCACGGCUAACUACGUGCCAGCCGCCGCCGUAACAC
rnacentral:rRNA from 1 species